CCUACGGGAGGCAGCAGUGGGGAAUAUUGCACAAUGGGGGAAACCCUGAUGCAGCGACGCCGCGUGAGUGAAGAAGUAUUUCGGUACGUAAAGCUCUAUCAGCAGGGAAGAAAAUGACGGUACCUGACGAAGAAGCCCCGGCGAACUCCGUGCCCGCAGCCGCGGGAAGACGUAGGGGGCAAGCGUUCUCCGGAUUUACUGGGUGGAAAGGGAGCGUAGACGGCAGCGCAAGUCUGAAGUGAAAUCCCAUGGCUUAACCAUGGAACUGCUUUGGAAACUGUGCAGCUGGAGUGCAGGAGAGGUCAGCGGACUUCCUCUUGUAGCGGUUACCUGCGUCGAUAUUAGGAGGCACCCCAGUGGC
rnacentral:rRNA from 1 species